CAUGAGUUUUCCCAUACGUUUCCGUAUCCAAUUUUGAUUGUCCGUCUUAUUUGAUUUUUUUAUUAGUAUUUUUAUUGCUAUUAGAUGAUAAAAUGUGAACAGUACUUUAGGCAUGACUUAUAUUUUUAUUUUUUUUCAAAAAAAAAUUAAAUAUGACGGACGCUUAAAGUUAGACAUAGAAACUCAUGGCUGCGCUUAAA
rfam:Oryza sativa Japonica Group DNA, chromosome 6, cultivar: Nipponbare, complete sequence.